CGGAACGGGUGAGUAACGCGUGAGGAACCUGCCUCAAAGAGGGGGACAACAGUUGGAAACGACUGCUAAUACCGCAUAAGCCCACAGGUCGGCAUCGACCAGAGGGAAAAGGAGCAAUCCGCUUUGAGAUGGCCUCGCGUCCGAUUAGCUAGUUGGUGAGGUAACGGCCCACCAAGGCGACGAUCGGUAGCCGGACUGAGAGGUUGAACGGCCACAUUGGGACUGAGACACGGCCCAG
rnacentral:rRNA from 1 species